AUGAUCAAGGGAGACCAGAGGCAGCUUCACGGCCAUGAAGAGCGGCUGAAAGAUCAGAUGAGAGAUGAUCAUCGAGCCUCGGAAGGCAAUUUUUUCAAGUUCUUGCAAAACCAGUCAAGCACAAAAAAAGAGGCCCAAGAAGACAAGAUCGCGUCCACAAGGGCAGAGAUGGGCGAAGUGAGAAAAGAGAACGAGAGGCUGAAGACGAUGCUGUCACGGAUGGUGGAGAACCAUCGAUCCCUUCAGAAGCAGUUCGAUGUUCUCCACCAGCAAGGGCGAGGCAAGAACCUCGUUGUGGGCUCACCGGCGCACACAUCGCUUUCCAACGACGUCAAGGAGCCCGGGUUCAUCUCUUUGUGCCUCGGAACGAGUGCCGGCACGAGCAGGCAGAGCAUGGGAGAAAAGAUCAAGAGAGGCAUUAAUAAUCCAGAAGGCAGAGACAUGUCUCUUGAACUAUCACCAGGCUGCAAAGCUGUUGGUGCAGCCGGUCAAAGUGAGACGAAGGUGCGUCGGGAUGUGCUGACGUUGAGCCCUGGAGGCAGCUCCGAGGAGGAGGCCGUGGAGACGACGACAACGUCAGCCGCAGCGAGCAAAAUGGUGAAGAACCCGAGGAGCACCGGCAGUGGCGUGGAGACGGAGGACGAAGUGGCCCAGCAGCCACUAGCCAAGAAGGCCAGGGUGUCUGUGAGGGCUAGGUGUGACACGCCAACGAUGAAUGAUGGAUGCCAGUGGAGAAAGUACGGGCAAAAGAUAUCCAAAGGGAACCCAUGUCCGCGCGCCUACUACCGCUGCACGGUCGCAACAGGGUGCCCCGUCAGGAAGCAGGUGCAGAGAUGUAAGGAGGACAUGUCGAUCCUGAUCACCACCUACGAGGGUGCGCACAACCACCACCUCUCCGCCUCCGCCACCGCCAUGGCAUCCACCACUUCUGCCGCUGCGUCCAUGCUCAUGUCAGGCUCCUCCACCUCACUUGGCUUCCCCUCCACCGCCUCCAGCCUCCACGACCUCAGGUUCGGCCUCCCAACGGCAACCACUGUCAACCCGUCCAACCAGCUGACCGGCCAACCGUUCUUCCUCCCGGUAGCCGGCGACGCAUCAAUCAGUGCCACCCCGUCAUACUCCACCAUCACCCUCGACCUCACCUCGCAGGCCACCUCGCAACACGCCUUCUCCCUUAGCAAUAGCAACAGGUUCUCCUCCAGCUUCAUCGACUCUCACGGCCACAACAACAACACUAGUAGGUACCCUUCCACGAGCUUCUCCUUCUCUAGCUUCGACGAGUGUAGCCUACCCGACGCCGCCACGUGGCCAUCAGGCAUUGGAUCAUACCUGGGCUACGGAUCCUCGUCCGGCACGUCCUACAACGGCCCCAACAAGGGCACAUUCAAAGCUGCAUUGAGCAGCAUCCAUGGAAGGCAACAAGGCUCAGCGGCAUCGCUCUACCAGCCAGUGCAUGUGCUACAGAGGGCGGCUGAGUUGAGAAGUGGUGGCACGAGCACGGCGGCGCCGAUCAUGCUCACUGAUACGAUCGCCAAGGUGAUUACCUCGAACCCAGGCUUCCACACGGCGCUUGCAGCUGCUAUCACAUCGUACGUCGGCAAGCCGACAACAGGAGGCGAGAAGGGGCUCGAGCGGGGGGACCACCUCGGGCUCGGGCCGUCGAGUGCGGCGACUGCAGUGUGCUCGCCAGCGCUUCUGGCACAGUUGUCUUCAACGGCAGCCACACAGAACGGUUCUCCAAAUGGCAGGAUGAGGUUGGAGCCGUCGUUGCAACUGUCAAGCUCCACAAGUGCUACUGCUUCGACAUCUCCCAUAUAA
rnacentral:rRNA from 1 species